rnacentral:rRNA from 1 species
UACGAAGGGGGCUAGCGUUGUUCGGAGUUACUGGGCGUAAAGGGCGCGUAGGCGGCGCACCAAGUCAGGCGUGAAAGCCCUGGGCUCAACCCGGGAAUUGCGCUUGAGACUGGUGUGCUUGAAUCCGGGAGAGGGAUGCGGAAUUCCAGGUGUAGCGGUGAAAUGCGUAGAUAUUGGGAGGAACACCAGUGGCGAAGGCGGCUCACUGGACCGGUUCUGACGCUGAGGCGCGAAAGCGUGGGGAGCAAACGGG